rnacentral:rRNA from 1 species
UACGGAGGGGGCUAGCGUUGUUCGGAAUUACUGGGCGUAAAGCGCACGUAGGCGGCUUUGUAAGUUAGAGGUGAAAGCCCAGGGCUUAACCCUGGAAUUGCCUUUAAGACUGCAUCGCUAGAAUUGUGGAGAGGUGAGUGGAAUUCCGAGUGUAGAGGUGAAAUUCGUAGAUAUUGGGAAGAACACCGGUGGCGAAGGCGGCUCACUGGCUCAUUACUGACGCUCAGGCGCGAUAGCGUGGGGAUCAAACAGG